CCUGUCCCUAGAGGUAUUACAGGUGUGGCUGUGUCACAUGUGCAGAGAGGAGAGAGGCUGUCUAUGCUCAUUGUUCUGAUCUAAGAUCAUCUGAGUGAUUUUCCAGGCAGG
rnacentral:snoRNA from 1 species